GAUGAACGCUGACAGAAUGCUUAACACAUGCAAGUCUACUUGAAGCUAACUUCGGUUAGUGGAGGGUGGCGGACGGGUGAGUAACGCGUAAAGAACUUGCCUCACAGAUUAGGACAACAUUUGGAAACGAAUGCUAAUACCGGAUAUUAUGAUACUUCCGCAUGGAAGAAUCAUGAAAGCUAUAUGCGCUGUGAGAGAGCUUUGCGUCCCAUUAGCUAGUUGGAGAGGUAACGGCUCACCAAGGCGAUGAUGGGUAGCCGGCCUGAGAGGGUGAACGGCCACAAGGGGACUGAGACACGGCCCUUACUCCUACGGGAGGCAGCAGUGGGGAAUAUUGGACAAUGGACCAAAAGUCUGAUCCAGCAAUUCUGUGUGCACGAUGAAGUUUUUCGGAAUGUAAAGUGCUUUCAGUUGGGAAGAAGCAAGUGACGGUACCAACAGAAGAAGCGACGGCUAAAUACGUGCCAGCAGCCGCGGUAAUACGUAUGUCGCAAGCGUUAUCCGGAUUUAUUGGGCGUAAAGCGCGUCUAGGUGGUUAUAUAAGUCUGAUGUGAAAAUGCGGGGCUCAACUCCGUAUUGCGUUGGAAACUGUAUGACUAGAGUACUGGAGAGGUAAGCGGAACUACAAGUGUAGAGGUGAAAUUCGUAGAUAUUUGUAGGAAUGCCGAUGGGGAAGCCAGCUUACUGGACAGAUACUGACGCUAAAGCGCGAAAGCGUGGGUAGCAAACAGG
rnacentral:rRNA from 1 species